UUUGAACUUGUGAUCCUCCUGCCUCAGCUCAGCCUCUUGAGUCACUGGGAUUAUAGGCAUGCGCCACUGUGCCCAGCACGAUAUGUUUUUAAAUCAAGUGCUCCCUACGAAUCAGAUAUUUUUUGCUUUAAACUCAAUGCCCAAAUUCCUUCCUUCAGAAUAUGUUUUAAAUUAUUUUUGGUGCCAAGUACUGGGAUUCGUGUUGUGGGGAUAAAAAGUAGGGAGACACAGGUCCUGCCCCCAUGGAGUCUGUGGUUCAUUUGGAAGGACACACAGUGUGUCUCAUGUGACUAGUAGGAGGCAGAGGGCAGUUGAGAUCCAGAGAUUGGACCAGGCUUACUGAAGGGCGGGGUGAGCAGUUGGUCUGUUGGAAUGUGGGGGAAGGGAAAAAUCUAGGAGGCAGUUGGGGGUGGCUAUAAGCAGAGAGGACCGUUGGAGUGAGGAGACAGUUGGAGAGAGAUCGGCCAAGGGAUAUGACUGACAGUGCUGUGAGCAGACCAAGGGUCAUUGGGAGGGGAUGCCAGGUGGAGAGAGAGGUUUAGAGAUGAUUCCACAGCACGGCUCAAGGCCUCUGACAGAUGUGACGGCGUCAUGCUGAGUGGCUUUCGACAGCAAUCAGAUAAUCUUUCCAAGGCCAUCGGGGUGCAAAGACAGAGGAUGGGCCUCUGGGGCUCAAGCCACAGUGUCCAGCCAGAGGAAAAUCAGGUGUUUUCAGAUUGCUGGUCUGUCUGAGGAGCACAGAAAACCUCCUGGCAGGCUCUGAGUAGGCAGGUUGGUGAUGGUAAAUACACCAGGAGGGGCUCGGAGCUGAUUCGCUCACCAUGAAUCGGCCACCGGUGUGCUGGUCCCUUUCACCUGUGAGUAUGUUUGGGGAUGAGAAGGAGCUGACCGGGGACCUGGAGGCUUCCUACCAGGAGCCGUGAGCCAGCUCUGCACCUGGGGACGCCUGCAUCUGUGAGAGAUUCAGAGCAGUGAUCAGCUUCCGGCAAAGCCCCGAGGCCCGUGGAGGGUGCUGCCUCUGCUGGGCGCCUGCUGUCGUCCACGGUCAUGUCCAUCUCUCCAUGUCUGCCUGGGGGAGCAGCUGUAGCUGGUAGCUGGGCGGCAGGAUGUGAGGACCGACCAGGUAUCUUCAGUGGCCCUCCAGGCUCAGCCUUGCAUUUCACUGUGUGAGCUGGAUGGAAAGCCAAGGGUGUGUGGGGGGUGGGCAGGGGCGGCCAGGGCACUCCCAGGGUGGCCGCCCAGUGGGUUUCACGAAUGUCUCAGAACCUGGAAUACUGGAGCCAUUCCUGCAGCCCUGCCAGUCACUAGCAGUGUCACCUUGGAAAGGUUGCCUUAACUUCUCUGUAACCCCCUUCUUCUCUGUCACAUGGUGAUCAUAAUAGUCGCAACCCAGUUGGAUGGCUGUGAGGUUUAAAUGAGGUAAUACGUGCAAACAGUUCUUUUGAACAGGGUCCCUUUUAUUUAUAAAGAUUAAAAAAAAAGUAGUUGGCAUACUUCCUUUGAAAAGUACCUGACCUCAAUAUCUUUUGAGUGUUGGAGAUUGAGAGGUGUUCAUGACUGCUCAUAAGAAACUGUUGAAUCCACCCACACCCAAAAGCUCCUCUCGGUGUGUGAGGUACGGUACACAUAUGCCCCCCCUAGGGAUGAAGUCUAAGCUUCAUGUGAGGGGUGAUGACUCAGAUUGGAUGUCCAGGGGAUCUCAAGGGAUCUCAGGUGCCUGUAUUCUAGACCUGCCUUUCUCAGCCUUGGCACUGUUGACAUUUGGGGCCCAAUUAUUUUUUGGUGUAGGGAAAUGUCCUGUGCAUUGUAGGAUGAUUGGCAGUAUCCCUCUCUUUACCCACUAGAUGUCAGUAGCACCUCCCCCCCACUCCUUCCCUAGUUUUGACAAUGAGAACUGUCUCUGGACCUUGCUGAAUGUUCCCAGGCAGGGGUGAGGGGGCCAAAGUCACCCUGAUGGAGAACUGCUGCUUUACCACGUUGCCCGUGUGCUGCGCUCUCUGUGAGUGGUUACGGGCACUGUGUUGAAGUUUAGUGGGAUUUCUUUUCUGAACUUGUUGAUCUCCGCUUCUAUGUACUGACUGAGCGGCUCACUGCAGUCCCAGGAAAUGGGUUUUUCAAAGUUGAAGGACUACAGACUUUACAAACCCCAGCCCUGUUUGAAAUAAAGUACUGGUUCCUACACCAGGCUGGGCAGCUGAGUCAACUGAAACCAAGUUCUUCUAUUUCUUGUUGAGCAAACCUGAAGGUUUUUUACAGCCAUAAAUGCAACAUAAAACUUGCAGUCCUUUACUGUUGGGUAAAAAUAAGAGCUAAUGAUUAAAAUGAACCCGUGAAUUCUGUGGGGAAGAAGAUCUUGAGGCAAUUUUCUUUUGUGGUGAAUACAUUUUUGUUUAAUCAUACACCAGCGCGUUGGUGGACCCGGAUUCAGACAGACACCAAAGGUGGGUCCUAAGGAGAAGUCUUCACAGGAUACAGGUGGAAGCCUUUGAUGUCCCCGCUCUGUAGGAGGGGGCCUAAUUGCUCUGGGUGGGAGGGCUGGGCUUUCAUUUGGGGGCAUCACAUGAUGAGUAUCUCUGCAAUUUCUGUUGUUAUGCUGAGUCAACCUCUGAAGACAAAUCUGGCUCAGCUCUUCUUGUUUGACUUCUUAAACAUCAGCUCUAAGAUCUCCGCGUAGUUUCCAUCUCAAGGAUGUGUUGCUGCUCAGGAGUGAAGAGUGUCUCCCCAGACUUGGGAAGCUUCUUUCCUGAAUCCCUCAUGGAGCUUGCUCCGGGGUGGUCCUCUUGCUGUGGGCUUGCCAGCACAUUGGUUCCUCACUGUUGGGUUUGCCUCUGGUGCCUGGCACAGGGCAAUGGAAGCAAGCUUUGGACAUGCUGUUGGUGCAACAAGAAGCACCACUAGGUCCUAGCGUAAGGGGACCAGGUACUAGUUUUUGUCUUGAGUUGGUUGAUGACCCGAGGUGUAAAAAUCAACAUGGAGAGAAGCUCUCAAAGGUAUGCUUCAAUAAUGAGCAUGAUCAUUUGAGCCUCCUUUUUGAUCAUGUAGACCUGGGUCAUCAUUUGUGCAGUUGAUCCUGAGCCCUUGGUGCUUAGGAUUCCAACGAUAUCACCUUGCAAUGGUUGUGCCCCAGCAGACAUAGUGGAUGCUGAGCAUCUAGAGUUGGGCUAGGCAUGUGCCCCCCUCAGCAGUGCUGCCUGCAAGGCUCUCUGCAGAGCAGGUGUGGCUGUUAACCUGGGACUCCCUUUGCAACGAUGCUGGGAGGUUGAGUGCUGCACAAUGCAGACUGAUGUUGCGGGUCAUCGUUGACGUGUGGUAUUGGAGAUUCUGGCUUCCCAUCUGAGCAUGGUAGCCACAGGGCUUGGAUAUCAGGUUUGGAAUUCAUUGCAAAUGAUAUCUCUUGAGACUAUAUUUCUUAAAAUUGUGCUCACACCCCCGAGGAUCACUGUGGUCUAAAUUGUGAACAGUGUGCAGUCUCUUGCUUGCUGUGUUUUCAGCAGGAAAACAUCUCAUCCUCUGUGGGUGAGGCCCAAUCUCAUGAUUUCUCACUUAGCAGAGUCAGGGGCAGAUGCAGAGGACCUGAGGGAGUUGAUGGUCAGAUUGGCCCCAGAUCUGCCAUUUUUUUGGGAACAGAGUUGGUUCCCCUGUGACACUUUGGCACAGAGGUUCUUCUGCACUUACCUGCAGAGGUGAAGGGUUUCAGGCUUGCUCAGCAGGCGCCAGACUCAGUCUAGGCUAAGCUCCCAGUGAGGGUUGAGGACACUGCAUCUUGACUGGUCAGCAGCAGAAAGCAGUAGUUUUAUUGUGUGUGUGUGUGGGGGGGCGGUCCUUAUACUAGUCAAAACAGUGAUUUGGAACCCCAGACCUUAGACUAUGGUCUGCCUUGUACCCUCUUGAGAAACAGAAGUUCUUAUUUAGGGAGAGAUUGUGUUUUCUCGAAGGGUCUAAGGGAACAGCAGAAGGGGAGGCACAGGACGUCCCCUGGUGGGGCGGGCAUCUCUGCCCUGGGGUGAUCAUGGGACUCGUGGAAGGGAUGGGCAGCCUGUGAUGUCUAGCUCUGUAGAAGAGAAGGGUUUCUUGCCCCUGUGGUGGGGCCUCUGCUGAGCCCUAGGAAGUGGUGUUGGGGCCUCCAGUCUAGACAGGGUUCCUCCAGCAGGAGGAGAGAUUCCAUGGUUCAGGCAGUGAGUGGUGGUGGGGAGACUCCCCUGCUUUGGGGUUGGGCCAGGAGAAUGCUCUGGAGGUGAGGGCAUCUCCCAGGAAGUCUCUGAUGGCUGCUAUUUCUGGGAGCUGCUGGGAGGGGGGGUGCAGUGUGUGGAAAUAUCUCUCUGUUUCUUGGUUUCACCUGCAGGGUGCCUGGGGUUGGCAGCUGCCACCUUCGGUGUGGCCAGAGCUCUUUCACCCUCCUGUGCCAUGAAGGAGGGUCUGCGGGUGUUCCUUGUAGAUAGGACUGUGCAUUCUACAAGACCUUUCUGUUGCUCUCGAUUUUAUCCAGUUCUGGGAUUUGAUGUUUGUGCAUUUUCACUUCCUCAAGCAGCUUCUUCUCUUUCUCCUUCCUGACCAACUGUCUGUCCACCAACAUGACUUGCUGCCUGUGGCCUCGGGGGGGCCUCAUGGUUUUACCUUCAUUUUCCAGAUGAGCACUGACCAGCAGCAAGUCGUGCCUGGCCUCUUCCCGCCUUCCUCCCUCCUCCAUCAAUUGCCUGCUCCGACCCCUCUCAUUAGGGACGGAAGGCCGCAUCUUUUUCAAACCACUCUCUUUUUUCUUGACUCAGUUUGUUUUGCAGAGCCAUGACUUGCUGCUGAUGGCCUUCUGAAGGCUUGUUGUGAGGUUCCUCUUGAGUUUUUGAUAGAACAUUGGCUGCCCGCCUUCUUUUUUCUUCCUGUGAUGGCACAGUGAGAGCUCUUCUCUCCCCUGGGAAGGGAACGGGGCUGCCCAUUUUGAAAUGUGGCAGACAAUAUUUUGUCCUGGGAUCAUGAUAUGACUUGUCAGACUUCGAAUUUUGUCACCCUGGUGUUCAAUUGCUUUCUGACUUGUGGUGCAUUGGAUGCUAGGGGAAGGUGUGUACGUGGGUGGUGAAUGGACCCCCCCCCCUCCAGUCUCUCUUUGGUUGAGGGGUGCCCUGGCUGGGGGUUAGCUCUCCAGAACUUGUGGCCUAGGGCCUGUUGGGCCGUUUCUUUCCCUGUCUACGCUUUUGCCUAUGCCUCCUCAGCUCCUCAGCACGAACCGGUUGGGGUUUUAACUGCUCAGGCUCUGAUGAGACUUCCUAUCUUGUGAGGAGAGUCUGCUGACUUCACUAUGAAACCAGAGCCUGAGAAAGGUCACACUGGGAAGGGAGUCCAGAGCCGUCCCCUUCCUUUGAGGACUUAACAGGGGUCUCCUCUGCUGCCUACCUGGGAGCUCGCAUCCUCUUGGCUUCUCCUUUCUGUCUGUUGACAGGAAGCCUCGGGUGACAUCCACCAAGUCCCUACAGUCCCCAUCUCAGAGGAGCAGCAAGAAGGGGGUUCUGUACCUUCAGAGCCAUCCUAGCUGCAGUGAACCCCUGGAGGGGGGAUUUGUGGUCAGGAAGGACUCUUCAAAACUUUAAAACUAGUAUUCAGAAACCCUGCUUUUCCUUAACUUAGUUCAGUUUGCGAUUUCUGCUCUGACAAAUUGUAUCCUUCCCCUUGAAGGGAGGUGGUGAGAUUCUGGGUCACUUUCAGAGCAGUUGGUGAUGAGAGUCCCCACCCUUGCUCAUGAUAUGCUGACAGCCACAGGCUGACUCGGGCCCCCGGCUGACGCUUGAUAUGUUCAUUUCUUUCUCUUUGUUCAAAAGGGGCAGGGCCUGCUGGAGGACCCUGUGUCCCUGCACAUGGCCUUAGGCUUGACUUAAUGCUCUGUGGCUGCCAUCUUGAGAUUGGGGGUUUUCGAAGCAGUGGGCUCGGUGUCUUUUAGCCCUGGGCCCUACAAAUCAAUUUCUGGUUCUGAAGAGGGGCCGCAUCAGUGGGAAGUGUGCUCUUAGAAGAUUACUGAGGGCAGUGAGGGGAAGAACAGCUGGUGUCCAAGAGAACCAGUGGUCCAGAAAGGUCGGAGUGGAGGGGAGAGUGGAGCGGGCAGGACCGGAAAGACUCAGGGGUUUUCUUACUAAACAGGAGGAGCAGGGCGAGAGGACGGGCAUUUCAUUUGGGAUUCAAGAAGGCAAGAACGCUGGCACAUGACCUGUCAAUCUGCCAGAUAGGACCGUGCUAGCCCUCAGUGUGCGUGGAACACGGUGCAUGGCCUGUUAGCAAUGCUCCAAUAAAUAAGUUGCUAAACAGCCACACCUUCACAUCGGGACCAAAUGAGUUUCUGGUCAAGGGCACGGGUUAAGCAAAAACCCGUGGGUCAUGUGGUGUUGGAGACAGUUUCUUCUAAGUGACGGAGCCUGCCUGCACCUGAGAGCAGUAGGUUGGGAUCUGGUGGCUCUGACCUCCGGGUUAGCUCUGUGCUUGUGGAAGAGCUUUCUUCUCUCGGUUUCUGGCCCCCAACUCUGCAGUCUUUGGGACCCUGUCAAGUCCCAUUUUCCUCCAUCUUCCCCACCAUGGGCUCUGCGGCUUGCCCACUGUUGGAAUCUUUAAAAUGUCCCCUGAACAGGGUGAGAGCACUGCUGGUGCAGCCCAGCGCUUCUUGCUUUUUUCUUAUUUUUGAUUACCUGUGAUGCUCCGCACCCUGCUAGCAUUCCUGCCCUGUCCCCACAACUGAACAAAUGUGUAGGUGGUCUGUAAAUGAUCAGCCUGCCUUCCUGGGGUGCUGCUCCCUGUGGGGCUGACCCUCAUCCUUGGUGCCUCCCUCUAUGUGACUUGCUGGAGAAAAUCCUCCAAGCUGAGGCACCUUCGGGAAGGUGGUGAUGCUGGGAGCCCUGGACAGGGACUCUUACAGUGGCAACUCUGGCCUGGGCAACGUGGCAGGGUGGCCAGUGAAAAUUUUCCUUUGGAGAAGGUGUGCCGAGGGGUGAGCUCAGCAUGCUCCAUGGGUCCUGGCAGAUCCCCACUGAUGGUCCAGGUCCAGGUAGGGUCUCUCUCCUCUUAUUCCCUUCAAGCUGGGUUCCUCAUUCUCUUGCCACUGUGGGCGACCGUUGAGGUAUGUCAGUGGUGCUUUCCUUGAGUGACCUAACAAACAGCAUUGUUUGUUUAGGUGCUUGUGAUUCACAUAGACGGCAUUAUUUUUACCAGUUCUUAUUCUCUCUUCUUUCUCAGCAUUGUGUUUUUAAGCUUUGCCCCUCCCCUCUGCACACUGAAAACUAAUUGAGAUUGCCCAAAGAGCUUUUGUUUAUGUGGGUUAAAACUAUUGAUAUUUGCUGCAUUAGACAUUAAAACGGAAACACUUAAAAAUACUUCCCCAUUCAUUUGAAUAUAGCAACGAUGGUAACAUUGCAAGCGAAGGUAAAUAACAAUUUAGCAUUAUUAUGAAAAUAGUUUUUACCUUGCAGAUUCCCUGUCCCAGUUAGGUGGCUUUUUGUUCCACAAUAUGAAAGGGCACCAUGAAGGACUAAACUUAGAAAGUAAAUUUAAUUUGUGUUGCUUUAUAAUACCUGUGUCAAGAAGCUAUGAAAUGCAUUCGAUUGUAGCAAAAUCUGCUCAGGUUUGGUGGAAUUGCCUCUUUGGUUAUUGAUACUGUUGCCUAUAAUAUGAAAGGUAAUUCUGGAUGGCAGAGAUUCUGUUUCUUACCAGAUACUUUUUGGUGCUUUAUGUGGAAUUAUAAUGUCCUAGAACAGAUUACUUAACAACUAGAAGAAAAAAAUCUUCACAUAGGAGCAAACUAUAUGUAUAGUUCUCUGCUAAGUUUACUUAUUUUGCGGUCCAUGUAUCCAUAAGGCCUUUAUUUUUAAGACUAUUAUUUUCUGUUUGGAAGAGUCAGUGGUUUUUAGUGUAUUGUUGGGCUGUGAAAACAUUACCACUAUCUAAUUUUAAUUCCAGAAUAUUUUCCAAAAUGAAAACUUCAUGCUCCCUUCCCUCCUUGACCUGUGGCAUCCCCGAAUCUACUUUGUCUUUUAUGGGUUUGCCUAUUCUGGACAUUUCAUAUAAGUGGAAUUGUGCACCAUGUGGCCUUUUAUGCCACAUAUUUUAUGCAGUAUGUGGUUCCUCUUAGCAUAAUGUUUUCGAGGUUCGUCCAUGUCAGUGCAUGCACCAGCACUUUGUUCCAUUUAUGGAUGAAUAAUAUUCCAUUGUAUGGAUAUACCAUGUUGUAUUUCUCCAUCAGUUGACGCACAUUUGGGUUGUUUCCGCUUUUUCUGCCUCCUUUUAAGAAUGCUAUGAACAUUUGUGUGCAAGUUAUUAUGUGGACACGUAUCUUCGAUCCCCUUGAGUCUGUUUCUUUUGACAUGUUUUGUUAUCAGCCAAAUGGUUAACCGAGGCCCGUUUCCCAGGCAGCCAUGACAGCUCUUCAGAUGCUGCCUUCUCAAAUCAGAAAGAAAUGAAGGGGAAACCACAGGGUGUCUUUUUACACUGGCAAUGAUCUUUGGGAUUUCCCAGUGGGGUCUUGGAAAAUCACAAAGAUUUGUUCUUUCAGUUUAGAAGCCAUCAGGUUUGUUCAGUAUAUUCCAGUGGUAAGAUCUGCAUGAGAAGAGUUGUCAAAAGAAACGCUCAGCCUGCCCAAGGUUACAUUUACACAGACAAAACGUGAUCCAUAAAUAUUAAAACGUGUUUUAGAAAUUGUAUAUUUUUCGGGAAAUCCUUGGAGAUUGGUGGAGGCCCUGACGGCCUAUAACAUUGUUACUCUCAGGGGACACACAGAGAGGGGAUUUGCUGUGCUCCACUCUGAUAAGGCUCUGCUGAGCUACAGCUGCAGCCUGUGUGUGUCUUCAGUGAUAAAUGACUGGAGUCUCAUGGUAAACGGGUGCCAGGAGCACCUCAAACUGACCCAUGUGAACAGACUUGUGGGUACAGGCUCCCUGAGAUGGUGCCACUUCAGCGGAUGGAGUCGGGGCCCUUUUUAACCCAGAAGAGGACAGCUUCCUGGCACAGACUGCUCACCCAAGAUCCCAUGGAACAAGAAGUGACUCUCCGGGCUGCAGGAAGGGGUGUGGGAAUGCCGUGAGGUUAUUGGUUUAAACUUUCGUUAAUGUUGUUCAAUGUUCUAUUUUUAGGCUCUUGUCUUCAGCUCCUUGUAACCCACAAUGAUUUAGUGGACUCUGCUUUGGUAAAUGGAAAUAAAACAUGUAAAAAUGACA